rnacentral:rRNA from 1 species
UACAGGGGGUGCAAACGUUGCUCGGAAUCAUUGGGCGUAAAGCGCACGUAGGCGGUUCGUUAUGUCGGAUGUGAAAGCCCUUGGCUUAACCGAGGAAGUGCAUCCGAAACUGGCGAGCUAGAGUACUAAAGAGGAUCGCGGAAUUCCCGGUGUAGAGGUGAAAUUCGUAGAUAUCGGGAGGAACACCGGUGGCGAAGGCGGCGAUCUGGGUAGAUACUGACGCUGAGGCGCGAAAGCGUGGGGAUCAAACAGG